CAGUGUUGUACACCGUGCUCAAUGCUACAAGAAAAAGGCUAGGUCAGGCUUCGGCCUGACCAAAAUUCAAGCUGCUAUACCUCUGGCUGCAUUGACUUGUGGUCAGAGUGUAUGGUGAUCAUAGCAAUUGCAAGUAUUGGGCUCGAUAAAUCCUUUGAAGACGACUUAAUUGCAUCCGGGUAUUGUAAGUGUUGAGAGUAGGCUUAGUCUUACGAUCCACUGAGAUUCAUCCCGUGUUGCGCCGAUUUGU
rnacentral:ncRNA from 1 species